rnacentral:rRNA from 1 species
AGAGUUUGAUCAUGGCUCAGAACGAACGCUGGCGGCAGGCCUAACACAUGCAAGUCGAACGAAGUCUUCGGACUGAGUGGCGGACGGGUGAGUAACACGUGGGAACCUAUCCUUUGGUGCGGAAUAACAGAGGGAAACUUCUGCUAAUACCGCAUACGCCCUAAGGGGGAAAGAUUUAUCGCCAAAGGAGGGGCCCGCGUAGGAUUAGCUAGUUGGUGGGGUAAUGGCCUACCAAGGCAGCGAUCCUUGCUGGUCUGAGAGGAUGAUCAGCCACACUGGGACUGAGACACGGCCCAGACUCCUACGGGAGGCAGCAGUGGGGAAUAUUGGACAAUGGGGGCAACCCUGAUCCAGCCAUGCCGCGUGAAUGAAGAAGGCCCUAGGGUUGUAAAGUUCUUUCACUCGUGAGGAUGAUGACAGUAGCGAGAGAAGAAGCCCCGGCUAACUCCGUGCCAGCAGCCGCGGUAAUACGGAGGGGGCAAGCGUUGUUCGGAUUUACUGGGCGUAAAGGGCGCGUAGGCGGCAUGCCAAGUUGGGGGUGAAAGGCCUGGGCUUAACCUAGGAACUGCCUUC